rnacentral:rRNA from 1 species
AUUGAACGCUAGCGGGAUGCUUUACACAUGCAAGUCGAACGCGUGGCGGACGGGCGAGUAAUAUAUCGGAACGCGCCCAGUAGCGGGGGAUAACUAGUCGAAAGAGUGGCUAAUCGCGCAAACUAUUGGAGCGGCCGAUAUGGGAUUAGCUAGUUGGUGGGGUAAAGGCUCACCAAGGCAACGAUCCGUAGCGGGUCUGAGAGGACGACCAGCCACACUGGGACUGAGACACGGCCCAGACUCCUACGGGAGGCAGCAGUGGGGAAUAUUGGACAAUGGGGGAAACCCUGAUCCAGCCAUCCCGCGUGUAUGAGAAGGCCUUCGGGUUGUAAAGUACUUUUGGCAGAGAAGCGGUAUCUGCAGAAUAAGCACCGGCUAACUACGUGCCAGCAGCCGCGGUAAUAC